UUGGUACUCCCUCCAUCCCAUAUUAAGUGACUUUCUAUUACAUGUAUCUAGACGCUUUUUAGACAUAGAUACAUCCAUAUUUGAACAAAUUUGAGUCACUUAAUAUGGGACGGAGGGAGUAGUAA
rnacentral:pre_miRNA from 1 species